GACGUAGGGGGCGAGCGUUGUCCGGAUUCAUUGGGCGUAAAGCGCGUGUAGGCGGCCCGGUAAGUCCGCUGUGAAAGUCGGGGGCUCAACCCUCGGAAGCCGGUGGAUACUGUCGGGCUCGAGUACGGAAGAGGCGAGUGGAAUUCCUGGUGUAGCGGUGAAAUGCGCAGAUAUCAGGAGGAACACCGAUUGCGAAGGCAGCUCGCUGGGACGUAACUGACGCUGAGACGCGAAAGCGUGGGGAGCAAACAGG
rnacentral:rRNA from 1 species